CACGUAGGUGGUUUGUCGCGUUGUUCGUGAAAACUCACAGCCUAACUGUGGGCGUGCGGGCGAUACGGGCAGACUAGAGUACUGCAGGGGAGACUGGAAUUCCUGGUGUAGCGGUGGAAUGCGCAGAUAUCAGGAGGAACACCGGUGGCGAAGGCGGGUCUCUGGGCAGUAACUGACGCUGAGGAGCGAAAGCGUGGGUAGCGAACA
rnacentral:rRNA from 1 species